ACACGAACCGUACAAACGUUAUUCGGAAUUACUGGGCUUAAAGGGUGCGUAGGCGGCUCGGCAAGUUGGGUGUGAAAUCCCUCGGCUCAACCGAGGAAUUGCGCUCAAAACUGCCGGGCUAGAGGGAGACAGAGGUAAGCGGAACUCAGGGUGGAGCGGUGAAAUGCGUUGAUAUCCUGGGGAACACCAGUGGCGAAGGCGGCUUACUGGGUCUCUUCUGACGCUGAGGCACGAAAGCUAGGGUAGCGAACGGGAUUAGAUACCCCGGUAGUCCUAGCUGUAAACGUUGAGCACUUGGUCCGAGACUCCUCCAUAGGUUUCCGGCCGUAGCGAAAGUGUUAAGUGCUCCGCCUGGGGAGUAUGGUCGCAAGGCUGAA
rnacentral:rRNA from 1 species